UACUCUACUUGUUUGUAUCCCAUCUCGAU
rnacentral:sRNA from 1 species